rnacentral:lncRNA from 1 species
GCUUCAUCGAUGUUGUAUCACUGCAGAAGCAAAAGAGGAGAGAAGGAGGGUGGCGGCAGACUUCUCAAGGGAGAAGAGGAUGAUUUGAUGGAGGUUACAGUAAUCCUAAAAGUAGCCUUUUUAAAACUUGACAAGGUUGAGGACAGGUGUGGUGGAGGAGAGAAUGGAGAUGGUGGAAAUAAUGAACUUGUGGAAGCUGAGGGUGAAGGGUGAAGGUGGGGAUAGAGAUUUUGAUGGAGAUGGAGAGCUUCUAGGGAAUAAGAGAUGGGGUAGGAGUAGAGUUGUAGAUAGAGUGGAUGUUUUUAAGGUUUAAAGAGGAGGAGGUGGGGGGAGUGAGGAGGAAUGAGAAGAGAAGAGAUGAUAGAUGGAGAUUUGGUGACUUGGCUUGAAGAAGAACUGGAGUGGUUAGGUGGUGGGAACAAGUUUAGUAUAUGGAUAGCUAAGAUGGAAAGGGGUUACACAAGGAGGACUUUGGGCUGUCAAAUGCAAAG